UACGUAGGGUGCGAGCGUUAAUCGGAAUUACUGGGCGUAAAGCGUGCGCAGGCGGUUUUGUAAGCCAGAUGUGAAAGCCCCGGGCUUAACCUGGGAAUGGCAUUUGGGACUGCAAGGCUUGAGUGCGGCAGAGGAGACUGGAAUUCCCGGCGUAGCAGUGAAAUGCGUAGAUAUCGGGAGGAAUACCGAUGGCGAAGGCAGGUCUCUGGGCUGACACUGACGCUCAUGCACGAAAGCGUGGGGAGCAAACAGG
rnacentral:rRNA from 1 species